rnacentral:other from 1 species
GAAUCCCUGCCGGGUUCGUGAAGGUGAGGGGCAUUUUGAGCCAACAGUUUCAGUAAGGGUGCCGGAGCGUCGUGGUAAUGGGGACUUUCCUUCCGGGGAAGGCGCCAGACCUGCGGCGGGAGGCGUCCACCUGUAAAAUACAGGUUCAAAAGCUCGAAACCCCACGGCUUCUGCGGUGGGGAUUCC